AGGUUUCCUCAUCCGGGAAUUUCUUAUACUAAUGAAAUCACAGUUGAGGAAACUCGU
rnacentral:pre_miRNA from 2 species